CGUAGGGUGCAAGCGUUAAUCGGAAUUACUGGGCGUAAAGCGUGCGCAGGCGGUGAUGUAAGACAGAUGUGAAAUCCCCGGGCUCAACCUGGGAACUGCAUUUGUGACUGCAUCGCUGGAGUACGGCAGAGGGGGAUGGAAUUCCGCGUGUAGCAGUGAAAUGCGUAGAUAUGCGGAGGAACACCGAUGGCGAAGGCAAUCCCCUGGCCGUGUACUGACGCUCAUGCACGAAAGCGUGGGAGCAAACAGGAUU
rnacentral:rRNA from 1 species